UGUUGAAGGUUUUUGGGAUAAGUAUUACUACCUUUUUUGGCAUAUUUGCUUUUGUUCUUUUCACAAUGGCCGGAGGAUGUGAGUCCUUGGGCCUUCUUCCACAUCAGAAUUCGAAAAUUGAGGGGAGGAUGCUGAAAUUCGUCAAGCGCUGCACUACUACCCAUCGAACAACUACAACAAAACGUCGAGAAAGGUUAAUCUGAGGAGACAGAACACAGUGGUCGGUGAAGCCAGGUACCUUCACAGAAUGCAGGAAUGUGUUGUCCUUGUUCUAAUCAAUGGUGGCUUGGAACAUGACGAAGAAUAUCAGAAGAAUUAAAGAUAACAGAAGAAUUUAAAAA